CCUACGGGUGGCAGCAGUGGGGAAUAUUGGACAAUGGGCGAAAGCCUGAUCCAGCCAUGCCGCGUGUGUGAAGAAGGCCUUCGGGUUGUAAAGCACUUUCAGUGGGGAAGAAAGCCUUGGGGCUAAUACCCUCGAGGAAGGACAUCACCCACAGAAGAAGCACCGGCUAACUCCGUGCCAGCAGCCGCGGUAAUACGGAGGGUGCGAGCGUUAAUCGGAAUUACUGGGCGUAAAGCGCGCGUAGGCGGUCUGAUAAGCCGGUUGUGAAAGCCCCGGGCUCAACCUGGGAACGGCAUCCGGAACUGUCAGGCUAGAGUGCAGGAGAGGAAGGUAGAAUUCCCUGUGUAGCGGUGAAAUGCGUAGAGAUCGGGAGGAAUACCAGUGGCGAAGGCGGCCUUCUGGACUGACACUGACGCUGAGGUGCGAAAGCGUGGGUAGCAAACAGGAUUAGCUACCCGGGUAGUC
rnacentral:rRNA from 1 species